CAAACGGCCCUUUUAAGGGCCAACAAAGCCAUCCGUAAAGUCUGAC
rfam:Octopus bimaculoides Scaffold27373_contig_11, whole genome shotgun sequence.